rnacentral:tRNA from 2 species
GCUGAGGUAGCUCAGUUGGGAGAGCACUCGGCUGAAGACCGAGUUGUCGCUGGUUCAAGUCCGGCCCUCGGCACCA